CGCGGGGUGGAGCACUCUGGUAGCUCGUUGGGCUCAUAACCCAAAGGUCGCAGGUUCAAAUCCUGCCCCCGCUACCA
rnacentral:tRNA from 1 species